AGCAGCCGCGGUAAUUCCAGCUCCAAUAGCGUAUAUUAAAGUUGUUGCAGUUAAAAAGCUCGUAGUUGAAUUUCGGGAUCAAUAUGUUGGUCGUGCCUUGGUACGUACUGGCAUUAUCGAUUCCUACCUUCUGAAGAACCUCGAUGUCAUUAAUUUGGUGUCUUGGGGAAUCAGGACUGUUACUUUGAAAAAAUUGAGUGUUUAAAGCAGGCUCGCGCUUGAAUACAUUAGCAUGGAAUAAUGAAAUAGGACGUUUGAUUCUAUUUUGUUGGUUUCUAGGAUCGACGUAAUGAUUAAUAGGGAUAGUUGGGGGCAUUAGUAUUCAAUUGUCGGAGGCGAAAUUCUUGGAUUUAUUGAAGACUAACUACUGCGAAAGCAUUUGCCAAGGAUGUUUUCA
rnacentral:rRNA from 1 species